AUUGAACGCUGGCGGCAUGCUUUACACAUGCAAGUCAAACGGCAGCGGGGAGGAGCUUGCUUCUCUGCCGGCGAGUGGCGAACGGGUGAGUAAUACAUCGGAACGUGUCGAGAAGAGGGGGAUAACCACCCGAAAGGGUGGCUAAUACCGCAUAAAUUCUGAGGAAGAAAGCUGGGGACCUAGGAAUAGGCCUAGAGCUUUUUGAGCGGCCGAUGUCGGAUUAGCUAGUUGGUGAGGUAAAGGCUCACCAAGGCGAAGAUCUGUAGCGGGUCUGAGAGGAUGAUCCGCCACACUGGGACUGAGACACGGCCCAGACUCCUACGGGAGGCAGCAGUGGGGAAUUUUGGACAAUGGGGGCAACCCUGAUCCAGCCAUGCCGCGUGUAUGAAGAAGGCCUUAGGGUUGUAAAGUACUUUUGUUAGGGAAGAAAAGUCAGCUGUGAAUAAUGGCUGAUACUGACGGUACCUAAAGAAUAAGCACCGGCUAACUACGUG
rnacentral:rRNA from 1 species